CGGGGGAGGCCGGAUCCUGGGCUGUGUCCCGGCGCCCUGUGCUCUGGGCCUGCGCUGUUGGAUUCGCGCUCCCGCCCCGCAGCCCCCU
rnacentral:pre_miRNA from 1 species